rnacentral:lncRNA from 1 species
UCUUAUUUUCUAAGCACAUUGUGACAUAAUGCUGAGCUGACAAUCAGAUGAGACUGUGACAUAUACCUCUGCCCAUCACCUGAUUUGACUCUUCUGCCUGGGACCAGACAACAGAUGGGACUGUGACAUCACUGGACCUAGCAUUUAAGUUCCGUGACUCUCCUGUCUGUGCCCUGCCUACAUGGAUUAUUGUGACAUAUUGCUGGGUCCAACACCCAGGUUCUGCCUGUAGAAAAGAUUGUAACAUAAUGCUGGGCCCAACUUCAAGGUGGCAUUACUUUUUUGACUUGGCCUUGCUCUCAGAAGACAUUAUAACAUACUGCUGGGCCCAGAACCAAGGUGAUGUUAAGUCUUCUGACUAAAACCUACCCACAGAAGACAUUGUGACAUAUCUCUGGGCCCAUCAACUAUUUGAUGUGACUCUACUCUUAUCUGAGUUUUUUUAAUAAAAG